UGCCAACGCAGCGGCCGAGAGGGGCUGCCCGCGCCGCGGUCGCUUCUGUCUGUGCCUCUUUGCAGAGCCCCGCCGGGCGGCUGUGCCCGUAAGCCCCGCAGGCGCGGUUUGAGCGAAAAGAAUCACACUCAUUUAGGUUGGAAAAGACCUUUGAGAUCAUCGAGUCCAAUCUAUGACUAAACACCAUUAUGUCAAUUAGACCCUGGCACUGAGUACCACGUCCAGUCAUUCCUUAAACAACUCCAGAGACGAGUUGGGAAAAAAUGCCAGGAACUGGAAAAAAGAAGCUGCAGAGGCAGAAAAAAGAAGUAGUUGUGUGGCUCUGAGGAACAGCUGAGUACUUCAGGACUGCAUAAAAAGGAAGUAUCUUCUGAAUUUUUCCUUUUUUCAAGAUACAGCUGGGAUUUGUCAGGAUCAUAUCACAAGGUCAUUUUUAAGGAGAUUCUCACUGACAUUUUGUGAGGUAAGGGAUUUCACAUUCCAGUUUUACAAGUGUUACUCUUCUGAUCAUCAUGAUUAUCAACACCAUGACAGAUUUAGGGCCUGAUCUUGGAACUUUUACAGAAGGAGCUAAGUUUAUUGUAAAUAACUUGAUAGCCAAGAAUCAAAAGAAAAUAAAGGGUCUACAAGGAGUUAGAAGAGGUCGUUCCAUGGCCCAAAGCCAAGAUCAGUUACACAUAUAUAAUUUUUGGCAUGCCAUUUUUUAAAAUGCAGCAAACAUUGUGGUAUUUUCAUAGCAGUUUGUUUAAAGUACUGGACUACUUUAUCAUAAGGAAAAACCCAACAACAUUCACCUUACC